rnacentral:rRNA from 1 species
UAGGGAAGUGAAGAUGCCGGAAUGAGUACGCGAUAAUGGGGGGGAGGAUCCCCCACACCGAAAGCCUAAGGGUUCCGGAGCCAGGGUCAUCCGCUCCGGGUUAGUCGGUCCCUAAGCCGAGGCCGAAGGGCGUAGGCGAUGGAAAACGGGCGAAUAUUCCCGUACCGCAGGACGCGCGUUAUGACCCCGAGGGGGGACGCGGGAGCGAAGCAACCGUCGGGUGAUGGACGUCCCGAUGCAAGGUGGUAGGCGUUUCCAGGUAGGCAAAUCCGCCUGGAUAGCCGAGCGCCGAUGCCGAAGGUGCCAAUUGGUGCCGCAAAGGGUUGUGGAGCCGACCGCCGAGAAAAGCCUCGCGGGGCAGUUCGUCAUGCGACCGUACCGUAAACGGACACACGUAGGCGAGGCGAGAAGCCUAAGGUGCUCGAGUGAUCCACGGAAAAGGAACUCGGCAAAAUGUCCCCGUAACUUCGGGAGAAGGGGAGCCUGUGGUAGGUGAUCCACGACGCGUGGUGAGCCCAAGCAGGCCGCAGAGAAUCGGCCCAAGCGACUGUUUAUUAAAAACACAGGUGCCUGCGAAGUCGUAGAAGACGACGUAUAGGCACUGACUCCUGCCCGGUGCCGGAAGGUUAAAGAGAGAGGUCAGCCGCAAGGCGAAGCUUUGAACUGAAGCCCCGGUAAACGGCGGCCGUAACCAUAGCGGUCCUAAGGUAGCGAAAUUCCUUGUCGGGUAAGUUCCGACCUGCACGAAUGGAGUAACGACUUGGGCGCUGUCUCUUCCGUGAGCUCGGCGAAAUUGGAGUCUCGGUGAGGAUACCGAGUACCCGCAAUAGGACAAAAAGACCCCGUGCACCUUUACUAUACCCUGCCAUUGGAUUUUGGCACUGCAUGUGUAGGAUAGGUGGGAGACUAUGAGCUACGGUCGCCAGGCCGUAGGGAGUCAACGGUGAAAUACCACCCUUACAAUGUUGAAGUUCUAACCCAGAGGAGUUUAAUCCUCCUCGGAGACCGUGGCAGGCGGGUAGUUUGACUGGGGCGGUCGCCUCCCAAAGAGUAACGGAGGCGCGCAAAGGUUCCCUCAGCGCGGUCGGUAAUCGCGCGUAGAGUGUAAAGGCAGAAGGGAGCUUGACUGCGAGACCGACGGGUCGAGCAGGUGCGAAAGCAGGCCUUAGUGAUCCGGUGGUUCCGUAUGGAAGGGCCAUCGCUCAACGGAUAAAAGGUACGCCGGGGAUAACAGGCUUAUCGCCCCCGAGAGUUCACAUCGACGGGGCGGUUUGGCACCUCGAUGUCGGCUUAUCACAUCCUGGGGCUGGAGAAGGUCCCAAGGGUCGGGCUGUUCGCCCGUUAAAGUGGUACAUGAGCUGGGUUUAGAACGUCGUGAGACAGUUCGGCCUGUAUCCAUUGCGGGCGUCGGAGUGUUGAGGAGAGCCAUCCCUAGUACGAGAGGACCGGGAUGGACUGACCACUCGUGUACCGGCUGUCCCGCCAGGGGCAUCGCCGGGUAGCGACGUCGGGACGAGAUAACCGCUGAAAGCAUCUAAGUGGGAAACUCACUCCAAGAUGAGCACUCCCGCUGCGUAAGCAGCCUGAAGGGCCGUGGAAGACUACCACGUCGAUAGGCGACAGGUGUAAGCGGCGCAAGCUGCGAGCCGAGCCGUACUAAUUGCCCGUGUGGCUUGACUG